AACGAACGCUGGCGGCAGGCCUAACACAUGCAAGUCGAGCGAAGCCUUCGGGCUUAGCGGCGGACGGGUGAGUAACGCGUGGGAACGUGCCCUUUGGUACGGAAUAGCCCCGGGAAACUGGGAGUAAUACCGUAUGUGGUCGAGAGACGAAAGAUUUAUCGCCAAAGGAUCGGCCCGCGUUGGAUUAGGUAGUUGGUGGGGUAAUGGCCUACCAAGCCGACGACCCAUAGCUGGUUUGAGAGGAUGAUCAGCCACAUUGGGACUGAGACACGGCCCAGACUCCUACGGGAGGCAGCAGUGGGGAAUCUUAGACAAUGGGGGAAACCCUGAUCUAGCCAUGCCGCGUGAUCGAUGAAGGCCUUAGGGUUGUAAAGAUCUUUCAGUGGGGAAGAUAAUGACUGUACCCACAGAAGAAGCCCCGGCUAACUCCGUGCCAGCAGCCGCCGCAGUAA
rnacentral:rRNA from 1 species